CUGUUUUUUGGACUACAACUAGCAAGACCAGCGGUCAGGGAUGAUGGUAAUUGUAGUCUGAAAACAGCUGGAGACCCAAAUUUGGGAAACACUGAUCUAGAGGUCCCCCGCUACACAAAAAGCGCCCAAAAUAUUCCCUAAAUGUCCAACAGACUCUCUAUAUAUGGGGCAUUUUUCACCCUAGCCAAUGCAACAUGCUGAGGUAAAAAAGUUUCCAGCUAAACUGAUUGAGAAGAGCAGAUUUAAAAGCCUGGGAUAAAAAAAAAGUCCCAAGGAAUAUGAAGUGUUGUUAGUUUGCCUGCUGCCUUACUGCUUGUUCUGAGGUGAGAUUUGAAGGAAGGCAGAGCAGUAUCACCCAAUAGGGAAUCCAAGCAUAAAGGGCUGCCAAGGAGAAUAGGUGGAGUCAUGAAAAUGGACAAGAAAUUUUGGGAGGAUGAAGGCAGGGACUGACACAACCAGAGCCGGUACUGUUGUGCUGAAAUCUUUUGAAAGGCUUUUGUCCUACUGCAUGAGAACGGAUGACCUGCAAAUAAAACUAUGGGAUGAAAAUGGCUUCUUACAAAAAGACACACUUUUAGAAGAUUAUGGAAGAAUAUGAUACACAUAAAAAGAAAGAACCAGAACAGCUUACUUGAGUCUUCCGUCGAAAUACGCUGGUGUUCCCAGGACAAUUGUUUUUAUGAA